AAGUCGUAACAAGGUCUCCGUAGGUGAACCUGCGGAGGGAUCAUUACCGAGUUGGCGCAAGCCAAUCUCCCUUUCUUGAUGUAUGACCGGUUGCCUUGCCUUCGGGCAGCAUUAUUCUGAUACUAGUUGUCUGAGUAUAUUUUAAUAAAUCAAAACUUUCAACAACGGAUCUCUUGGUUCUG
rnacentral:misc_RNA from 1 species